UACGAAGGGGGCUAGCGUUACUCGGAUUGACUGGGCGUAAAAGGGCGCGUAGGCGGUUCGUACAGUCAGACGUGAAAUUCCUGGGCUCAACCUGGGGGCUGCGUUUGAUACGUGCGGGCUUGAGUUCGGAAGAGGGUCGUGGAAUUCCCAGUGUAGAGGUGAAAUUCGUAGAUAUUGGGAAGAACACCGGUGGCGAAGGCGGCGACCUGGUCCGAUACUGACGCUGAGGCGCGAAAGCGUGGGGAGCAAACAGG
rnacentral:rRNA from 1 species